rnacentral:rRNA from 1 species
GUCCACGCUGUAAACGAUGUCUGCUAGCCGUUGGGAUCCUUGAGGUCUCGGUGGCGCAGCUAACGCGAUAAGCAGACCGCCUGGGGAGUACGGCCGCAAGGUUAAAACUCAAAUGAAUUGACGGGGGCCCGCACAAGCGGUGGAGCAUGUGGUUUAAUUCGAUGCAACGCGAAGAACCUUACCACCCCUUGACAUCCAGAGAACUGCCCAGAGAUGGGCGGGUGCAUUCGGGAGCUCUGAGACAGGUGCUGCAUGGCUGUCGU